rnacentral:rRNA from 1 species
CACGUAGGGUGCGAGCGUUGUCCGGAAUUAUUGGGCGUAAAGAGCUCGUAGGCGGUGUGUCGCGUCGGCCGUGAAAACCUGCAGCUUAACUGUGGGCUUGCGGUCGAUACGGGCAUCACUGGAGUUCGGCAGGGGAGACUGGAAUUCCUGGUGUAGCGGUGAAAUGCGCAGAUAUCUGGAGGAACACCGGUGGCGAAGGCGGCAUCCUGGACCAUUACUGACGCUGAUGAGCGAAAGCCAGGGGAGCAAACGGG